AGGCAAGCCAGUAAGGAACAUCCCCCCUCAGCCUCUGAAUCAGCUCCUGCUCCUUGCCCUGCUUGAGUUCCAGUCCUGACUUCCUUUGGUGAUGAACAGCAGUGUGGAAGUGGAUCUAUAAUGGGGAGCCACAGAGAAGGCUUUUGACUUCAGAGGCGCUGUCUAAUCUUCUCGUAGAAGGUCUCGCUGGACUCCCAGCCAUGGCUUCCACCAAGCCAAGCUCAAGGCCACUGCCACCAAGGUCAAGCCAAGACUGCCGCUGCUGACAAGCCAAUAGCUCAUCCAGUGGCACCUGGGUGUCUAAGAGCCUGAAAACAAGAGGGACCCAGCCUCAUCACAGGCCCGGGUCUGUGUUUCUCUACCCCUGAAGCAGUGUUCCAGGGCUUCCUUACAGCCCAACAAAAGCUCAGUAAUAGCAUAGGGUAAGCAUGGACAAGUGGUCCACCUCCCCAGCAGCUGUGCCCUGUGGCAGAGGGGAUGCAGGACCUCAGAGCCCUACAACAGAACUAAUGCUGUUAUCCUGGAUGUGAGAAAUGAUGGAUAAGGAGUGGGGCCUUUACUCCUGUUUAUUUCCCUAAUUAAGAAAUGUGGUACUUUCCCUCUCCAAUAAUCAAAUGUAAGAUUUUUAAAUCCCCAAAACAUAUAUUCAUCGCAGAAUUGAAUUAUUUCUUGUGCUACAUUGUCUUCAACCUCUUUCUUUAAAAGUACCCGUCUGCUCAUUUGUUUUCACUUUAUCUUAGGGAUAAAUAUAUUGAAGGAACAAGUAAACAUGGCCUUUGUGACAUGGAGUGAUCCAGAAAAUCAAAUAUACUUAAGAUGAUACAAUCCUUUUUUCCAUUGAGAAUUUUCAAACAGAUUCAUUAUAUAAUGAUGUCUUGCACACAGUAUAUUUUACUUCCUUUAAUUAAGUAAGAACACAUGCUAAUCACUGCAUACUAAACUGAUUAUUUACGUGAGAAAUCAUAACUGAGAAAAAAAGACCAGAUAAAUUUUGAAAUUUUCAUGUUACAAAAUAUAACUUUAUAUAGUUGUUUUGGCAACACAUUUGGAUAUAGGAAAAGAGCAUUGCUCCACAGGAUUAUUUUGUGUCUGCUUUGAGAAAAGGACUUUACAGGCAGAACUUAUGUAUGUAUUUUAAAUUGCAUCUUAUUUCUAACCUCAGGUAUCUCUCCACAGGUGUCAGCAGUAAAUCCAUCAAUAACCAAACAGCUCACUAACCCCGUGUGAUCAUGUUCAAGCCUGGCAGAGUUAUGAAGGAAAGGUGUUCAGAGUUUAGGACUUUGCAUAUCACCUGUGCUGGUAGAUGUAGGUUUGGUACUUUCUUGCCUCCUGUUUCUUUUUCUAUCAGAAAACUAUCAAUGGAGUCUUAUCAAUCAGACAGUUAAUAACUUAUGCACUGUAUAAAUUCGAAAGCAAACUGGGCGUGUGGAAAUAUCUGAUAUUCCGUUGGAUGAGGAAGAUUGAGUUCACAAACUAGUUCAGUAAGUGAGACCUUUCUCAAGAAAUGUAAUUAAAUGAAUAAAUAAAUAAAUUCCAAAGCAAAAAUGUUUUACUGAUACAAUUUAGGAACUUUUAUCACUUACAAUUAACUGAGUAGGAUCAAUAAAUUAAAACAAUAACUUUUGGAAAUGUUAUUUCCCAAAAUAAAAACACAUGAAGUUUUGAUAUGCUGAAUAUUUUUCACCUUCUGAUAUGUUCUAUGCUCAGAUGGCAGAAAAAGACCCCUGGAUUAUUGUGCUUUUGUGCCACGCUGAUGUCAUGAACCAGGUUGAGUGUUACACAGUACAUAUAGCUCAUUAUCUUCUUCACAGGUACCUUGUUCAGCCUAACUAUUGAAGCCAUGCAAAAAAGGGGAGGUGGUCUUCAGGUUUCAUACCUACUGAGCAGUUAUUGACAAAUGAAUGUUGCUGGGGAAAAGAUAUAAUUAUUUUUGGAGUUGUUGAUAUUGGUGGGUUUCCCAUAUGUUAUUUGUUGGCCUGACAUACAAGGGCACUCUAGUUUGUCUUAGUGGUUUGUAAAAAAAAAAAAAAGGGGGGGGGGUUGAAGAUGUUGCUCAGCAGUUAAGAGCACUUGCUGCCCUUCCAGAAUAUUAAAUUUCAGACCCAGCAACUACUUCAUGCCCAGUGUCUCUCAACUUAUCUCCAAGUCCAGAGAUCUAAUGUCUCUGGUCUCCAUGGGAACCUGAAUCUACAUACAUGUAUCCAGCUCAGAUACAGACACCUACACAACAUUAAAAUAAUAAAAAUAAAUCUUUAGAAGGAUAAGGUAUGACAAAGGGAGGGGAGCGUGUUGUGGGGAAGAUAAGAGGGUGUUGAAAGAAGGAAAUGAAGAUAAAUAUGAUUGUAUUUUGUUGUAUAUUUAUUUGAAGUUCUGAAGAGCAAAGAAAUUGUGCAGAUGAACAAAAGAAAUGAUGUCCAUCAAUCUCAAUUUGACUCUUUAGGAUCUUGGCUACAAAUUUCUAUCAUCUUUUUCACUGUUUAUAGCAUAUUGUUGGUGAUGUUUAUCAACAUGAUGCUUACCCUAUUAGAUUCAGCAAUGGCCACUGUAAGUAAAAUCACAGACCCACCCACAGGAUUUCUGAGUGCCUGUGAAAUUUGUUUGCUUCAUUCAUUAAGAUGUUUUCCCUUUAACUCAGCUUAACCUCAAAUACUGACAGAUGCACUGUUUUCAGCUAGAGUCUGCUCAAUAAAAGAAUUAGUGGGAAGUCAUGAAGAUACACUGUAACUCUGUUGAAGUAUAGCACUGUGCACAUCAGGUUUUAUCCGUGUGAAGUUAAAUUCAGAGGAAUCUGUUGUUACUACUAGCCACUUCUUAUUAUUAACUAUCUAAAUGAUAUUAGGAUCCCUGAGCACGCUCACUAGUCAGAGAGACAGACUGACUAUUAAAUAUUCACACUUGGCUCUUCCUAGUGCCUGCAUGCCUGAGGCUAUUCUUUCCCAUGGAAAUCUUUACAGAUCUGGAGAUUGUGUGUUUGUUAGUCAGUUUUGAUGGUUUGUUUCUAGUCCUUACUAGGAUGCUGACUGUGAUCCCAAGACACCUCUUUAUGACCUUGUCGG
rnacentral:lncRNA from 1 species